rnacentral:rRNA from 1 species
AUUGAACGCUGGCGGCAUGCUUUACACAUGCAAGUCGAACGGUAACAGGCCUUCGGGUGCUGACGAGUGGCGAACGGGUGAGUAAUGCAUCGGAACGUACCCAGAGGUGGGGGAUAACGCAGCGAAAGCUGUGCUAAUACCGCAUGUGAUCUGAGGAUGAAAGCGAGGGACCGAGCAGCAAUGUUUGGCCUCGCGCCUUUGGAGCGGCCGAUGUCGGAUUAGCUAGUUGGUGGGGUAAAGGCCUACCAAGGCGACGAUCCGUAGCUGGUCUGAGAGGACGACCAGCCACACUGGGACUGAGACACGGCCCAGACUCCUACGGGAGGCAGCAGUGGGGAAUUUUGGACAAUGGGCGCAAGCCUGAUCCAGCAAUGCCGCGUGCGGGAAGAAGGCCUUCGGGUUGUAAACCGCUUUUGGCAGGAACGAAACGGUGUCCGCUAAUACCGGGCGCUAAUGACGGUACCUGCAGAAUAAGCACCGGCUAACUACGUG